UUCUCCAUGGUGUAGUGGUUAUCACGUGGGUCUCAUAUAUAUUGUAUGACUUGGGGGUGUAACUUUCAGGAAAUCCCAAGGCCGGGAGCUCGAUCCUCCCUGGGGACA